rnacentral:lncRNA from 1 species
CUAGUGGUUAUUGAUCUAGUGGUUAUUGAUCUAGUUAGUGGUUACUGAUCUAGUGGUUAUUGAUCUUGUGGUUAUUGAUCUAGUGAUUAUUGAUCUAGUGGUUAUUGAUGUAGUGAUAAUUGAUCUAGUGGUUAUUGAUUUAGUGGUUCUGAUCUAGUGGUUAUUGAUCUCGUGGUUACUGAUCUACUUUGUGAUUAUUGAUGUAGUGGUUACUGAACUAGUGGUUAUUGAUCUAGAUGUUAUUGAUCUAGUGGUUCUGAUCUAGUGGUUAUUGAUCUAGUGGUUAGUGAUCUAGUGGUUAUGGAUGUAGUUGUUAUUGAUCUAGAGGUUAUUGAUCUAGUGGUUAUUUAUCUAGUCGUUACUGAUCUAGUGGUUAUUGAUCUAGUGGUUACUGAUCUAGUGGUUAAUUUUCUAGUGGUUACUGAUCUAGUGGUUAUUGAUCUAGUGGUUACUGAUCUAGUGGUUAUUGAUCUACUCGUUACUGAUCUAGUGGUUAUUGAUCUAGUGGUUAUUUUUCUAGUGGUUACUGAUCUACUUAGUGGUUAUUGAUGUAGUGGUUACUGAUCUAGUGGUUAUUGAUCUAGUAGUUAUUGAUCUAGUUGUUAAUGAUCUAGUGGUUAUUGAUCUAG